AUGGAGUGUGUUACUACAGUUAAGUAUUCAGUGAAAUUCAAUGGCAAACUCAGUUUUCUCCGACAUGAGGCCUCCGACAAGGUGAUCCAUAUACCCCCAUUCUUAUUCUUAUUUGUUGCUGAUGCACUCUCGGCCUUGUUGAAUAAGGUGGUGGUGGAAAGGGGCCUACUUCCAGUUAUUAUAUGUCGGAAUGCACCUCCUAUUUCUCAUCUCCUGCUUGCGGAUGAUUCAUUGUUAUUUUUCCAAGCAAGUGGACCUCAGGCAAAUAUUAUCAAGGAUGUUUUGAACACUUUCGAGGCGGCAACGGGACAACUUAUCAAUCUGUCCGAGUGCUCCAUCUUGUUUUCUGAUAAUUGUUUGACAGUUGUGUCCCAAUAA
rnacentral:rRNA from 1 species